CACGCCGUAAACGAUGGAUACUAGGUGUAGGAGGUAUCGACCCCUUCUGUGCCGGAGUUAACACAAUAAGUAUCCCACCUGGGGAGUACGGCCGCAAGGCUGAAACUCAAAGGAAUUGACGGGGGCCCGCACAAGCAGUGGAGUAUGUGGUUUAAUUCGAAGCAACGCGAAGAACCUUACCAGGGCUUGACAUCCCUCUGACAGGUAUAGAGAUAUACUUUCUUUUCGAAGCAGAGGAGACAGGUGG
rnacentral:rRNA from 1 species